GCCAAGCUGCAACUGGAACUCAGAAUUUCUGGUUCCCAGUUCUAUAUCUUAGCCUCCCAAACUGGCUAUGUGGACAGGAAAGAACAGAGUAAUGGGGUGAGCUUUAAGGAUGCAAUUUCAUAGGAUUCCAAGAGUCUCAAGGUUAGAGAAGUCGCCUAGUCCACCUCCCCUCUCUGCUUCUCACAGAAGGGUCUGCUGAACACUCUGGUGACAGAGAACUCACCCAACAUGUUCCAUGGCAGAGGCUUUUCAUUAGAUCAAGGUGACAUCUGUUUUACUGGAGCUUCCAACCACGUGUCCCAAUACUGCCCUUAGUCACAGGCAUCCAGGUCCUCUCUCUCAGGACAGCACUUUGAAUAAAUGAGGACAGCUCCCAUCCCCCUUUCUCCCAUAGCUGGGACUACAGGCGCCCGCCACCACGCUCGCUAAUCUUUGUAUUUUUAGUAGAGACGGGGUUUCACCAUGUUGACCAGGAUGGUUUCAAUCUCUUGACCUUGUGA
rnacentral:lncRNA from 10 species